UGCAAGUUAGUAUAUUAAAUACUUUUAACUUAGGCUUAAAAAAAAGACAACAACCUACUUGCCA
rnacentral:tRNA from 1 species